UGAUAAGAAGAGGACUUGAACCUCCGUCUUCGGGGCUACAACCCGCCGCCUGUCUCUCGGCCAUCUUACC
rnacentral:tRNA from 1 species